rfam:Dipodomys ordii contig_30035, whole genome shotgun sequence.
GGUGGCUCAGUGGUAGAGUGCUUGCCUUGCAUGCAUGAGGCCUGGGUUCAAUUCCUCAGCACCA